rnacentral:lncRNA from 10 species
UGAGAAUGCUGUUCUGUUUUAAAGUCAAGGAUGUGCAAGAGUGGAAAAUAGUGGUGGGAUUCCUCUCCGAAAUGAAAGGCAAAUUCUAAACUUGAAGAAAGAGGAAGGCAAAAUAGUCUGAGGAAAUGAAAUAGCAAGUAAGAGCUCCCACCUGAUAACCAUGCUCCCGUGGCCUGGAUCUUAGCACAGAUGUCCUUAAUUGGUUCCCACCGGCAGCAUGAUAAUCUAGAUACAAGAACAUUGCAGCUUGGAAAGACAAGAGAAAGCCAAAUUUCCCACUUAGACGGGAAUUCCAAUAUGACCCAAAGUGUAGCUCAAAGAAUACCCUCCUCCUAUCUUAAUUCA